rnacentral:rRNA from 1 species
UACGUAGGUGGCAAGUGUUGUCCGGAUUUACUGGGUGUAAAGGGCGCGUAGGCGGGCUCGUAAGUCAGACGUGAAAUACCGGGGCUCAACCCCGGGGCUGCGUUUGAAACUGCGAGUCUUGAGUGCCGGAGAGGAAAGCGGAAUUCCUAGUGUAGCGGUGAAGUGCGUAGAUAUUAGGAGGAACACCAGUGGCGAAGGCGGCUUUCUGGACGGUAACUGACGCUGAGGCGCGAAAGCGUGGGGAGCAAACAGG